rnacentral:rRNA from 1 species
GAUAAACGCUGGCGGCGUGCCUAAUACAUGCAAGUCGAGCGAACAGACGAGGAGCUUGCUCCUCUGAUGUUAGCGGCGGACGGGUGAGUAACACGUGGAUAACCUACCUAUAAGACUGGGAUAACUUCGGGAAACCGGAGCUAAUACCGGAUAACAUUUUGAACCGCAUGGUUCAACAGUGAAAGACGGUCUUGCUGUCACUUAUAGAUGGAUCCGCGCCGCAUUAGCUAGUUGGUAAGGUAACGGCUUACCAAGGCAACGAUGCGUAGCCGACCUGAGAGGGUGAUCGGCCACACUGGAACUGAGACACGGUCCAGACUCCUACGGGAGGCAGCAGUAGGGAAUCUUCCGCAAUGGGCGAAAGCCUGACGGAGCAACGCCGCGUGAGUGAAGAAGGUCUUCGGAUCGUAAAACUCUGUUAUUAGGGAAGAACAAAUGUGUAAGUAACUAUGCACGUCUUGACGGUACCUAAUCAGAAAGCCACGGCUAACUACGUG